CCUACGGGAGGCAGCAGUGAGGAAUAUUGGUCAAUGGCCGGAAGGCUGAACCAGCCAUGCCGCGUGAAGGUCAGUGCCCUAUGGGCGUUAAACUUCUUUUGUGCGGGAGCAAUAAUGGUCACGUGUGGCCAGACGAGAGUACCGUACGAAUAAGCAUCGGCUAACUCCGUGCCAGCAGCCGCGGUAAUACGGGGGAUGCAAGCGUUAUCCGGAGUUAUUGGGUUUAAAGGGUGCGUAGGCGGUGAGGUAAGUCAGCGGGGAAAUGCCCCCGCUCAACGGGGUGAAGUGCCAUUGAUACUGCCUUGCUGGAAUGCGGAUGCAGUGGGAGGAAUGUGUGGUGUAGCGGUGAAAUGCAUAGAUAUCACACAGAACACCGAUUGCGAAGGCAUCUCACGAAUCCGCGAUUGACGCUGAUGCACGAAAGCGUGGGUAUCAAACAGGAUUAGAUACCCCGGUAGUC
rnacentral:rRNA from 1 species